rnacentral:tRNA from 1 species
UGCGGGGUGGAGCAGUGGCAGCUCGUUGGGCUCAUAACCCAAAGGUCGCCGGUUCGAGUCCGGCCCCCGCUACCA